rnacentral:rRNA from 1 species
CCUACGGGAGGCAGCAGUGGGGGAUAUUGCACAAUGGGGGAAACCCUGAUGCAGCGACGCCGCGUGGGCGAAGAAGUAUGUCGGUAUGUAAAGCCCUAUCAGCAGGGAAGAAGAAAUGACGGUACCUGAGUAAGCAGCACCGGCUAAAUACGUGCCAGCAGCCGCGGUAAUACGUAUGGUGCAUGCGUUAUUCGGAUUUACUGGGCGUAAAGGGAGCGCAGGCGGGACGGCAAGCAUGCCGUGAAAGCCCGCGGCACAAACGCGGGACUGCAUUUGGAACCACCGGGCUGGAGUGACGGAGAGGUAAGCGGAAGUCCUAGUGUAGCGGUGAAAUGCGUAGAUAUUAGGAGGAACACCAGUGGCGAAGGCAGCCUACUGGACGGUGACUGACGCUGAGGCUCGAAAGCGUGGGGAGCAAACAGGAUUAGAUACCCCAGUAGUC